rnacentral:rRNA from 1 species
GACAGAGGUGCCAAGCGUUAGGCGGAAUCACUGGGCUUAAAGCGUGUGUAGGCGGGCGAUCAAGUACCUUGUGGAAAUCCCACGGCUCAACCGUGGAACUGCUGGGUAUACUGGUUGUCUUGAGCCAGCUAGGGGCGAGCGGAACAGACGGUGGAGCGGUGAAAUGCGUAGAUAUCGUCUGGAACGCCGAAGGUGAAAACAGCUCGCUGGGGCUGCGCUGACGCUGAGACACGAAAGCCAGGGGAGCGAACGGG